rnacentral:ncRNA from 2 species
UAUUCAUCAAGAGUUAGCUGAGGGAUUGGCCCGAUGAAGCUACGGCAACCACCGCAUACUGCGAACGGUGCCAAUUCCAACAGGAGUAUUCCUGGGAGAUGAAGA